GACGAACGCUGGCGGCGUGCUUAACACAUGCAAGUCGAGCGGUAAGGCCCUUUCGGGGUACGACGAGCGGCGAACGGGUGAGUAACACGUGGGUGACCUGCCCUCAGCUCUGGGAUAAGCCUGGGAAACCGGGUCUAAUACUGGAUAUGACUCCAUGACGCAUGUUGUGGUGUGGAAAGCCUUGUGCGGCUGAGGAUGGGCCCGCGGCCUAUCAGCUUGUU
rnacentral:rRNA from 1 species